rfam:Myotis lucifugus cont2.24312, whole genome shotgun sequence.
GGCGGUUCUCGGGUGAUGCGACUUGGAAUCAGGCUCCCUCCUUUCUGAUUCUGGGUGUGUCACGCGAGAAUCGCA